CCUGCAGCUAGGGUGCAGACAAAUAUGAGUUGCUGUCUGUUACCUCUGUUUACCAAAUUUAGUUUAAUCCAUCCAGAAACAUGAGCUUGACUGUAAAACAUUUUUUAUGACAGUUGGACACAGGCUGUUGUCACUGGAUCUCUCCCAUGUUGCAAUGGGAUGCAGAUACAGACAGAAGGAUUUAGAGACAGCAGGUCAUCAACUACAGCUCUGCAGUGAAGAUCUCUUACAGCUGGAGGAAGAGCGAGCAGGGUCAGGUGAGAUAUUCAAGGACUGCACACAUAUAAUCUCAGCUCGUCCUCCAGAAGAGCUUGCAGCAACUGUUUGUUUCUCUCUUUGAUUCAGCUGAUGAUGGCAGACAGUACACUGCUUCUUCCUUCGUAAGCCUGAAAACAGAGAAGGGAAUUAACUGAACGGACUUUGAGAGCAAGAUUGUCUGUAACCAUUAGGACUGUUAGAUCCUUAGGGUAUUGUAGAACAAAUCACUGUCAGCGACACACAAAACUAGACUUGGAUCCUAACAUCAAACCUUUCAGAAGACAUUUAAGUUAAUUCCCUCAGUUUAUGCCUUAGCAGGCGUGGGGCCUCCCUUGGGCCCUUUAGGACAGGAAUGGGGUGCUACAUCAGCUGGGGAUCUGACACUGCUGUGCACAUACAUGGGUUUGCUCCCUUCAGGCAGCAUGGAUCUUGGAAAGAAGCACCAGAUCUGCAGGGCAUAUGUUUCAUCAUGGCCACCUCUGCUGUAAAGUCACACUUACUGAUACCACCUUAAGCACUGAUUAUUUCUAGUCGAAGACAUUUCCCCCACAGUUUUUCUUGGCAUUUACAAGCAAGGUACCCUGAGGAGUUACUUCUCAAAAAGGGUUUUACCAUCAGCUUUACUUGGUACAACUUAACUCCCUGAUUUAAACACUUCUUUCCUGAUAUGGUCACUCCUACAACUUUCUCUUUUACAGCUAAAAAUAAUUACUGUCUAUUCCAGUUUUUUGUUGUUGUUGUUGUUGCUCAUCCAUAUUGUUGCAAAUCUGAAUAAAAGAUGAUGUGUUCUUGUUCGCA